CCCGCAUCGUUUCUGCGCCCACCGGGUUGGAAAGGCAGCAGCAGCAGCGGUGGUGGCGGUG
rnacentral:SRP_RNA from 1 species